rnacentral:lncRNA from 1 species
UUAGAAAAUAAGAAAUUUCAUUAAAGAAAAAGAUAAAUAUAAAAAAAAAAUAUCAAACCCCCAUCUUGAUUUUUGAACAAUUCAAUUAUUUUGUACAAUCCAAAAAUUCAAAUAAUAUAGAACAGAUGGAGUAUUAAGUUUGAUUUUGGUCACCUAUAUUCCCUCUAGUAUGUUCAAAUAUUGAAUCACAAUUGAUUUUUUCAUAGAUGUAGUCUUGACCUAGUCAAUAAUUUUGUUGCUAUUCCUCAACUUCCGAUAACUAAAACUAUAAUAGCCACAUAAAUUAGAGUAACCAUUAUUCACCAUAAGGAAAAAAAAAUGUAGAAUUUUGAUUUUUGAAAAGAAAAGAGGGUAAAUGUCAGAGAUGACAGAAACAAGCAUGUGAGGCCACAUUUGACUAUUUCAAGAUAUCGUAGUUAGUACCAUUUUUUUUUUAAAAAUAAAAUAAAAUAUUGUCUCAAGAUGUAGUACCAUAUAGAUUAAUAAUUAACUAAUUAAAUAUUACGUCCUGGAUGACAAAUUUGAUGACACAUCAUUGUCGCUAUAUUUUUCCAUUAAUCGACACGUAAUCAAUGAGUGUGUCACCCUAAUGAUGACAUCAAUAUGGAGACGUAAGCCGACAAAAGUGAUAGGUGAUGGGUGGCCUUAACUCCUGAUUCGUGUCGACUCAGAAUCGGAUUCCUUUGUUCGAUUGAAAUCUUUUCUUAUCUUACUUUAAUUAGAAUAAUUUAAAAUUAAUUUUUAUUUAUUAUAUCGUUAUACAAUUAUUUAAUACUUAUUUUAUAGCACAAAUUAAAAAAAUUAUUAUAUCUUACUUCUAUAUUAUGUUAAGUCGAAAAAUGUUACAUUUAGAAGAAGUAGCGCCUUUUGUUUUAGCAAGCUCUACUGUUUCUAUUUGCUACACAAAAAAAGUACUUUUAGCCUCUUUAUAAAUAUUCACCCGGUCACUUUUUAUCGAUCCAAUUAUAUAUUAAUUAAAUUAUAUUUUGAUACGAAUUUGUCUUUUUAUUAUCACAAAGAGACACAUAAUAACCUCGAAAAUCAAAGAACUUAUCCCAAUUUUAAUUAGCUAAUUUCCUUAAAAAUUCGUUCAUUUAAUCCAUCCCAACCCAUAAAUAUUAAAAAACAAAAUGUAAAAAUACUCAAUAGGUGAUAGAUACACUGCCUUUGACCAUUUCAGACCCCC